CCACGUGGCAAUCUUGGCCUACUAAACUUUUAUUUUACUGGAAUUCCAUCACAACAGUUUUUCUCCCGCAGUUCCAAAUCCGUAUAUGAUCUUCGGAGGAUUCACCUGCAGGGAAAUAGUUAAUAGAUCGUCUUGGCAGUUCUUGGACCGUACUCCAGGAAACAGGUCACAACUCCACGUACAGUGGAUCUAACGAUGGAUUGUGUGUUUUCUUCAUAGAUCCAUCUGCUGUCACUUCCCGCAAUUGGAAGAUCUAUUUGGGAUUGCUCUAGUUUUCUCCCGGAAUAGGUACCAGCAAAACAAUCAUCGGAUUUGUUGGCUGAGCGUUAAAACAGCAAAUAUGAAGCCUCCUGUCAUGUUAUGUUAAAACUGUAGAUUAUGCUAGCUUUAGUGUACCUAGCUUUAGUGUAUAAUCUUAAUUUUAUUAGUGACAGGAGGCGAGUAUUUCCCACCCAUUCUUAUCCCCCCCCCUUGUUUAAUUUUAAUAGUUUGGGUUUGUCAGGUACGUAUGCAACUCUGCUUGUUGUCUC